rnacentral:tRNA from 1 species
UCCCUCGUGGCGCAAUGGCUAGCGCGUUCGACUGUUAAAUAAAUAGUAAUUCUAUACUUGCAAAUCUUGCAAUCUUGCAAUCGAGAGGUUGGUGGUUCGACCCCACCCGAGGGAGU